rnacentral:ncRNA from 1 species
CUUCAGGGUUCGGUGUAAUUCCGUACCGGCGGUAAAGCCCGCGAGCGAAAGCUGAUUUGGUGAAAUUCCAAAGCCGACAGUUAAAGUCUGGAUGAAAGAAGU